rnacentral:rRNA from 1 species
ACACGAACCGGACAAACGUUAUUCGGAAUUAUUGGGCUUAAAGGGUGCGUAGGCGGCGCGGUAAGUGAGGUGUGAAAUCCCACGACUCAAUCGUGGAACUGCGCUUCAUACUGCCGCGCUAGAGGGAGACAGAGGUAAGCGGAACUGAUGGUGGAGCGGUGAAAUGCGUUGAUAUUAUCAGGAACACCAGUGGCGAAAGCGGCUUACUGGGUCUCUUCUGACGCUGAGGCACGAAAGCUAGGGUAGCGAACGGGAUUAGAAACCCGAGUAGUCC